UCGUAACAAGGUCUCCGUUGGUGAACCAGCGGAGGGAUCAUUACCGAGUUUACAACUCCCAAACCCCUGUGAACAUACCUUAAUGUUGCCUCGGCGGAUCAGCCCAAGCCCCGUAAAACGGGACGGCCCGCCAGAGGACCCAAACUCUAAUGUUUCUUAUUGUAACUUCUGAGUAAAACAAACAAAUAAAUCAAAACUUUCAACAACGGAUCUCUUGGUUCUGGCAUCGAUGAAGAACGCAGCAAAAUGCGAUAAGUAAUGUGAAUUGCAGAAUUCAGUGAAUCAUCGAAUCUUUGAACGCACAUUGCGCCCGCUGGUAUUCCGGCGGGCAUGCCUGUUCGAGCGUCAUUUCAACCCUCAAGCCCCCGGGUUAAUUGUUGGGGAUCGGCUCUGCCCUUCUGGGCGGUGCCGCAAACGAAAUACAUUGGCGGUCUCGCUGCAGCCUCCAUUGCGUAGUAGCUAACACCUCGCAACUGGAACGCGGCGCGGCCAUGCCGUAAAACCCCAACUUCUGAAUGUUGACCUCGGAUCAGGUAGGAAUACCAAAUGAACUUAAGCAUAUCAAUAAGCGGAUUAAAAGAAACCAACAGGGAUUGCCCUAGUAACGGCGAGUGAAGCGGCAACAGCUCAAAUUUGAAAUCUGGCUUUCGGGCCCGAGUUGUAAUUUGUAGAGGAUACUUUUGAUGCGGUGCCUUCCGAGUUCCCUGGAACGGGACGCCAUAGAGGGUGAGAGCCCCGUCUGGUUGGAUGCCAAAUCUCUGUAAAGUUCCUUCGACGAGUCGAGUAGUUUGGGAAUGCUGCUCUAAAUGGGAGGUAUAUGUCUUCUAAAGCUAAAUAUUGGCCAGAGACCGAUAGCGCACAAGUAGAGUGAUCGAAAGAUGAAAAGCACUUUGAAAAGAGAGUUAAAAAGUACGUGAAAUUGUUGAAAGGGAAGCGUUUAUGACCAGACUUGGACUUGGUUAAUCAUCUGGGGUUCUCCCCAGUGCACUUUUCCAGUUCAGGCCAGCAUCAGUUUUCGCCGGGGGAUAAAGGCUUCGGGAAUGUAGCUCUCUUCGGGGAGUGUUAUAGCCCGUUGUGUAAUACCCUGGCGGAGACUGAGGUUCGCGCUUCUGCAAGGAUGCUGGCGUAAUGGUCAUCAACGACCCGUCU
rnacentral:rRNA from 1 species